GUGAAUCAUCAAAUCUUUGAACGCAAAUUGCACUUUCUGGUAUUCCGGAAAGUAUGCCUGUUUGAGGGUCAUUUAAAUAAAAAUCGGUGUUGUUGCUGCCUUUCUUGGUUACGCGUCGGCAUUGGGUCGUCUUACCUUCGGUUAAGUGACUUACAAUUUUUGCAUGAUUUUCGAACGUAUUUAACUCGCUUACGUACGUUUGAGAUAUCGAAUGCUUAUUAUGUUCGGUCAUUCCCCUGAUUCGCGCCUAUAAUUUUUCAUUAAAUGACCUCAAAUCAUGUCCUAAUACCCGCUGAACUUA
rnacentral:misc_RNA from 1 species